rnacentral:rRNA from 1 species
GACGAACGCUGGCGGCGUGCCUAAUACAUGCAAGUCGAGCGGACCGACGGGAGCUUGCUCCCUUAGGUCAGCGGCGGACGGGUGAGUAACACGUGGGUAACCUGCCUGUAAGACUGGGAUAACUCCGGGAAACCGGGGCUAAUACCGGAUGCUUGAUUGAACCGCAUGGUUCAAUCAUAAAAGGUGGCUUUCAGCUACCACUUACAGAUGGACCCGCGGCGCAUUAGCUAGUUGGUGAGGUAACGGCUCACCAAGGCGACGAUGCGUAGCCGACCUGAGAGGGUGAUCGGCCACACUGGGACUGAGACACGGCCCAGACUCCUACGGGAGGCAGCAGUAGGGAAUCUUCCGCAAUGGACGAAAGUCUGACGGAGCAACGCCGCGUGAGUGAUGAAGGUUUUCGGAUCGUAAAACUCUGUUGUUAGGGAAGAACAAGUACCGUUCGAAUAGGGCGGCACCUUGACGGUACCUAACCAGAAAGCCACGGCUAACUACGUGCCAGCAGCCGCGGUAAUACGUAGGUGGCAAGCGUUGUCCGGAAUUAUUGGGCGUAAAGCGCGCGCAGGCGGUUUCUUAAGUCUGAUGUGAAAGCCCCCGGCUCAACCGGGGAGGGUCAUUGGAAACUGGGGAACUUGAGUGCAGAAGAGGAGAGUGGAAUUCCACGUGUAGCGGUGAAAUGCGUAGAGAUGUGGAGGAACACCAGUGGCGAAGGCGACUCUCUGG